rnacentral:lncRNA from 1 species
AUAUGCCACAGCCUCACAUAAGGAAGAGGAAAAUGGCAGUGUGGGCCAUGAUUGGCAGGUCUGGAUCCAUAGACUGUGAUUUCCAGGAUCACCCAACAGGAAUGAAGACAUUUGGAGAAGAAGCGUUUACUGAAAGGAGAUUCCUGGGCUGGAGGAAAACCAUGAUCUACAGUUCAUGUUGACAGAUAUUGUAUUUUUGGUCCUAGAUCUGACUUUUGAAAUGACUUAUCACAAAUUCAAAUUUAGCAAUCAUGAGUGAAGUACCCACGAUGUGCUAAGCAUCUACCUCUGCAGAUAGAAGAACACUUACUGUUCCUGAGCAUGGGAGGGAAUAGAAGUUCCUGGGUCCUGGCCUCACCUCAUCAGGCACUGCCAAAUUUGACACCUCCUUCCUGUUCACGGCAGUCCUUUGCGAUAGGGUAUUAGAUGCCACCAAGUAGCUGCAUAACUCACCCAUUUGGUCAGAGCCUGGGUCUAAGCCAGGUCUGACAGACUCCAAAGCAAGCCCUGUUUACAGCAUGACUGGGAUCCAGUGGACGAGGGAACUGAGCUGUCAAAACUAAGUGACUUGAUUGAGGCCAUGCAGCUGGCGAGGGGAGGACCAGGAUCUGAACCCAACUGGGUCUCCCAAGCCUGGGCCACUGAACCAUUUCACCUCUUGGAAAAACUUAAUGGUCAGAGUGGCCCACCCAGUCCAUGGACAGCAUGGAGGAUAAACUGCUUCCCUAGAAAUCCUCUCCAGCAUUCUUGCCACCACGACUUUGGGACACAUUGACCAUGAGGAGGAGCUGGUCAAUGAUGGACAGGAGUCCAGAUUAGCAGAGAUGUGGUAAUAAGGACACCGAUGCCUAAAUACUUGAAAUAUCCAAUAGGAAGCAUUCCACCUUUGUGCAAAUGCGAACCACAUCUCACCAAGUUCAGGCCAAGGCUGCCACCGGUGACGUUUUGGAAAAGAAAAAAAAAAGCGGGGGGAGAGGAGAGAAACAGAGAAGCAAGGAAUGCAGAAGAGAGCAGAGGCCACAAAAACAGCAGCAACGUGUCCUGUGUAUUCUGUUUCCUUGUAAAACUAUGAAGCAUGUUAAGGAGAUACUUCAUUUUUUGAGGAUUCAUACUCUUGUUUAUAUUAUAAUAAAAACAACCCAUGUUCUUUCUAAAAAUUUAGGCAAUGCCUUCGUGCACAUAAAAGUAAAACAAAAUCACCUGUAAUCCUACCACACGCAGAUCAGCACUUGCUAAUCUUUUCACAGGGAUCCUAAGAAUAUCCUAUUCUCUAUAGAAUAUAGUUGAUUUAUGUUACCUAAUAACUAACUGUUAACCAUUUUAAAAUUCUUCAGUUUUACAUUAUGCUAGAAAAAAGGAGCCGUCACUCUACGUGACAUUUCUGUAUAUUGGUUUAUUCAUUCAAUAAACAUUUUUUAAGUACCU